CUUUUAAUGCAGGCUCAAAGUCGAAACACGUUUUGUGUUUUGGAAGUCGUGUUGAAAGAGUUCUAGAGGAACAUAUACCUUCUAAUCUAAAAUGUCUGGAAGGGAAGGAGGCAAGAAGAAACCGCUAAAACAACCCAAGAAAGAUAAGAAGGACCUCGACGAGGAUGACUUAGCACAGAAGCAAAAAUUAAAGGACGAGAAAAAGGCACUUGAACAAGCCAAGGCAAAAGCUGCACAGAAAGGGCCCAUGGGUGGAAGUGGAAUAAAGAAAUCUGGAAAGAAAUGACGCUACAUUUCCUGUGAAGGCACAAGAGUAAAAGAACUUUCCUUUCCAUAAGCUUGUACAGAACUUGUAUAUGUUGAGAAACGUUAAAAAAUUACAAUCAUUUACACAAUAAGUCAUGAAUAAAUGUAAUGUUCUUUUAUAAAAUGUUUGC